UCGAACUCAGAAAUCCGCUGCCUCUGCCU
rnacentral:piRNA from 1 species